GCAUCGGUGGUUUAGUGGUAAAAUUAGCCGUUGCCAAGAGCAAUAUCGGCUAGCCCCGGGUUCGAUUCCCGGCCGAUGCA